rnacentral:rRNA from 1 species
UCAGUUGUGAAAGUUUGCGGCUCAACCGUAAAAUUGCAGUUGAUACUGGGUACCUUGAGUGCAGCAUAGGUAGGCGGAAUUCGUGGUGUAGCGGUGAAAUGCUUAGAUAUCACGAAGAACUCCGAUUGCGAAGGCAGCUUACUGGACUGUAACUGACGCUGAUGCUCGAAAGUGUGGGUAUCAAACAGGAUUAGAUACCCUGGUAGUCCACACAGUAAACGAUGAAUACUCGCUGUUGGCGAUACACAGUCAGCGGCCAAGCGAAAGCAUUAAGUAUUCCACCUGGGGAGUACGCCGGCAACGGUGAAACUCAAAGGAAUUGACGGGGGCCCGCACAAGCGGAGGAACAUGUGGUUUAAUUCGAUGAUACGCGAGGAACCUUACCCGGGCUUAAAUUGCAGUGGAAUGUAGUGGAAACAUUACAGCCUUCGGGCCGCUGUGAAGGUGCUGCAUGGUUGUCGUCAGCUCGUGCCGUGAGGUGUCGGCUUAAG